UCAGUAACACGUGGAUAACCUACCCUUAGGACCGGAAUAACCCCGGGAAACUGGGGAUAAUACCGGAUAAGCCAUAGACGCUGGAAUGCCCUAUGGUUCAAAGCUCCGGCGCCUAAGGAUGGAUCUGCGGUCUAUCAGGUUGUAGUGGGUGUAACGUACCUACUAGCCGACGACGGAUACGGGUUGUGAGAGCAAGAGCCCGGAGAUGGAUUCUGAGACACGAAUCCAGGCCCUACGGGGUGCAGCAGGCGCGAACACUUUACAAUGCGGGAAACCGCGAUAAGGGAACCCCGAGUGCCAGCAUCAAAUGUUGGCUGUCCAGAUGGUUAAAAAUCAUUUGUUAGCAAGGGCCGGGCAAGACCGGUGCCAGCCGCCGCGGUAACACCGGCGGCCCGAGUGGUAGCCGUUUUUAUUGGGUCUAAAGGGUCCGUAGCCGGCCUGAUAAGUCCUUUGGGAAAUCUGACAGCUUAACUGUCAGGCUUCUAAGGGAUACUGUCAGGCUUGGGACCGGAAGAGGUAAGGGGUACUCCAGGGGUAGGAGUGAAAUCUUGUAAUCCCUGGGGGACCAUCUGUGGCGAAGGCGCCUUACCAGAACGGGGCCGACGGUGAGGGACGAAAGCUAGGGGAGCAAACCGGAUUAGAUACCCGGGUAGUCCUAGCUGUAAACGAUGCUCGCUGGG
rnacentral:rRNA from 1 species